GUGGCAUGGUGAUGCAUCCAGAAAUAUGAUUAUGUGUUGCAGUAUUGUAGGGACCGAGGGUGGCAUGGUGAUGCAUCCAGAAAUAUGAUUAUGUGUUGCAGUAUUGUAGAGACUGAGGGUGGCAUGGUGAUGCAUCCAGAAAUAUGAUUAUGUGUUGCAGUAUUGUAGAGACCGAGGGUGGCAUGGUGAUGCAUCCAGAAAUAUGAUUAUGUGUUGCAGUAUUGUAGAGACCGAGGGUGGCAUGGUGAUGCAUCCAGAAAUAUGAUUAUGUGUUGCAGUAUUGUAGAGACCGAGGGUGGCAUGGUGAUGCAUCCAGAAAUAUGAUUAUGUGUUGCAGUAUUGUAGAGACCGAGGGUGGCAUGGUGAUGCAUCCAGAAAUAUGAUUAUGUGUUGCAGUAUUGUAGAGACCGAGGGUGGCAUGGUGAUGCAUCCAGAAAUAUGAAUAUGUGUUGCAGUAUUGUAGAGACCGAGGGUGGCAUGGUGAUGCAUCCAGAAAUAUGAUUAU